GCUUUGAACUGGCCGUCCUCCUGUCUUAGUCCCCCGAGCUGCUGGGAUUACAGGCACCACAGCUACACUGAAGUUUAUUGCUAUUGCUGUGUGUGUGCCCGUUGGGGACAGAGCCAUUGCACAUGCUGACUAUGGAGCCACCUCCCCUCCCUGAAGCUUAUUUUACCAGACAGUUCUAUGAGGACAAAACUGCAAAGAUGGACGGGGGUUUCCCAGGAAGAGGCAACUCCUUUCAGCAGCAGGAGGAAGGGCGCUUGGGCAGCAGGAGGAAGGGCGCUUGGGCAGCAGGAGGAAGGGCACUUGGGCAGCCCCGGAACUGGGACCCGUCCUGGAACCCGAGGCCAGAAGCCCUCGCCGCCACCCGAGACGGGCAAGGACGCGCAGAUGAGGUCAUUUUUCAGAUGAGGAAACUGAGGCCCAGGACGCUGCCCGGUCGGAUCCUGAGCUCAUGGUCGGACUCUAGCUCUGGUCAUCUCUCCCCGGGACGCUGCCUGCCCUGGAGAGGGCCUGGGGUGAGGGAAGGGAGUGGACACUUAGGGGGUUCACAGCCCCUGGUGCCCUGGUCUGGAGUCUCAGAAGCCAGAGCCCAGGGGUGUCCAGUCCCCCAACGUCCAGCACUCCCUCUUUGUCCCUCCAUUCCUGUGUUUACAGAGAGGAGACAGCCCAGUGGCCGGUCACUCAGCAUGCUGGCCGUGUGGAGCUGCUCCCUUGAUACCACCACACCGGGCCCGGGGUCCCAGGGAGGCGGAGACCUGGUGGUGGAAGGGAUGUGGGGCACAGGCAGAGGGUGGCCAUUCAGAAUGACGAAGGCCCAGGGUUGGCCCUCCAAGAGAAGACACAAAUCUCAUGUGCAAGACAGGGGGCCGGAGGUGCCAGUGCUCCCACCCCUCCCCAGAAACAAGAAGGAAGCCUUCCUGGAGGAGGUGACCAAGGAUGAAGUUCCCGAAGGUCUUGCAGGCAAAGACCUGGAGAGAGGGUGGGAGAGCUGGCACCGCGGGAGAGGCUGGAGGGAGAUGGGAAGGAGCAGGCGGGGCUCAGGGCCCCGAGUCGCCCAUGUGCUGGAGUAGAGCAGGGCAGGGACAGUGCGGGAGUGGGCAGAGGGAAGGAGCCAUGUGGGCAGAGUGAGGCACAUCUGGAAGCACAUCUGGAGGCCCAGGGUGUCCCAGAAGGUUGUCUGGAUCCUGGGGGCAGAAGUGAUGGUCACUGACUUUAGAGAGGUCUGGUUUGUGUUCUGGAAGGAUCACUGCCCUGUGGCUGGGUCGGUGCUGGUCUAGCUCCGUGCCGGGCACACACGGUAAAUGUUUGAAUCCAUGAACCGAGGCCUGGCAGGCGCCCGGGCAAUGGUCAGCUCCCCCGUGGGACUCCGAGCCUCGUUUGGGAAAAGAGGGCCACGGCAUGCGUGGAAGUGUCACGAUGCUUAAAGGAACCUGGUGGGGCUCCCUGUCCUGCUGGGGGUCAGCACCCCGCAGCUGGUGCCCUUAGGCCACGCAGGGAGGGUGCGGGGACCCUGAGGCAGGGACUUGGGCAGGAGGACCGGUCAUCCAGGAGUGGGAGGUGGAAACAGCAGUGAUGUUAGCGUGUGCUCCGUUCAGGCGACCCUCCCACACCGGGGAGAAGGCUCUAUUGUCACCCCGUUUUGUCAUCCAGGAAGCUAAGGCUCAGAGAGGAGCACCAGGCCAGCAGGGGGAUGGAAGACCCUAGAGCCCGGCUGCUGGCCGCUGGGGGAGGAGCCUGCUGAGACCUGCCUCAGGCUGACAGAACGUGAUGCUGCAGCCACUAAAUUGACGCCCAGGAGGGAUCUGAAUGGCCUGGGAACGUCUUCGGUUACAGCCCUGUGAAAAGCCAGGAUAUAAGGUGCUACAGGCACAAGUCACCUCAAUAAAACCAGAAAGAAAAACGCAGCUCGCUGGAGUCAAAGUUCAUUGAAAAUACACGGGAAAGUAAGGCUCCCCGCAAAACCGUGCACCCUGAUUACUUUGGGGAGGUAGCACUUUGAGUGGCUUUUAAAUUGGGGGAUUGAACCCAGGGGCACUUAAUCACUGAGCCACAUCCCCAACCCUUUUUUAUUUUAUUCUGAGACAGGGUCUCGCUAAGUUGCUGAGGCUGGCUUUGAACACAUGAUCCUCCUGCCUCAG